UGAUGAAUAACAGUGCAAUACUCCCUUGGCAGAGAGAAAUUAAGACAGUACUACAGUUCGUUGUGAACACGCGCGUAUAAUUUUCUGUCAGCCAAGGGAGAAUUGCCCUGCCAUUCACCC
rnacentral:pre_miRNA from 1 species